rnacentral:ncRNA from 2 species
AUCCUAAAUCUGGGGUGCCAAACGGCUGAGAACCUGUCCAAAAACAGGUACCCAUUGAACCUGAUCUGGGUAAUACCAGCGAAGGGAGAUCAAAAGAUGAAUUG